GGGAUCUUAGUUCAGUGGUUAGAACGCACCGCUCAUAACGGUGUUGUCGUAGGUUCGAUCCCUACAGAUCCCACCA
rnacentral:tRNA from 1 species